rnacentral:rRNA from 1 species
UAGAGUUUGAUCCUGGCUCAGAUUGAACGCUGGCGGCAUGCCUUACACAUGCAAGUCGAACGGCAGCGCGGGGCAACCUGGCGGCGAGUGGCGAACGGGUGAGUAAUAUAUCGGAACAUACCCUAGAGUGGGGGAUAACGUAGCGAAAGUUACGCUAAUACCGCAUACGCACUAAGGUGGAAAGUGGGGGAUUCUCAAGAACCUCAUGCUCAUGGAGUGGCCGAUAUCUGAUUAGCUAGUUGGUGAGGUAAAGGCUCACCAAGGCGACGAUCAGUAGCUGGCUUGAGAGAACGACCAGCCACACUGGAACUGAGACACGGUCCAGACUCCUACGGGAGGCAGCAGUGGGGAAUUUUGGACAAUGGGGGCAACCCUA